UACGUAGGGCGCAAGCGUUAUCCGGAAUUAUUGGGCGUAAAGAGCGUGUAGGCGGCCAGGUAGGUCCGUUGUGAAAACUCGAGGCUCAACCUCGAGACGUCGAUGGAAACCAUCUGGCUAGAGUCCGGAAGAGGAGAGUGGAAUUCCUGGUGUAGCGGUGAAAUGCGCAGAUAUCAGGAAGAACACCCGUGGCGAAGGCGGCUCUCGUGGGACGGUACUGACGCUGAGGAGCGAAAGCGUGGGGAGCGAACAGG
rnacentral:rRNA from 1 species